rnacentral:rRNA from 1 species
UACGUAGGUGGCAAGCGUUGUCCGGAUUGACUGGGCGUAAAGGGCGCGUAGGCGGUUUGCACAGUCAGACGUGAAAUUCCUGGGCUUAACCUGGGGGCUGCGUUUGAUACGUGCAGGCUUGAGUUCGGAAGAGGGUCGUGGAAUUCCCAGUGUAGAGGUGAAAUUCGUAGAUAUUGGGAAGAACACCGGUGGCGAAGGCGGCGACCUGGUCCGAUACUGACGCUGAGGCGCGAAAGCGUGGGGAGCAAACAGG